rnacentral:rRNA from 1 species
AUGUCACCACAAACAGAAACUAAAGCAGGGGCUGCAGUAGCUGCCGAAUCUUCUACUGGUACAUGGACAACUGUUUGGACUGAUGGACUUACCAGUCUUGAUCGUUACAAAGGACGAUGCUAUCACAUCGAGCCUGUUGCUGGGGAAGACAGCCAAUGGAUCUGUUAUGUAGCUUAUCCAUUAGACCUAUUUGAAGAGGGUUCCGUUACUAACAUGUUUACUUCCAUUGUAGGUAACGUAUUUGGUUUCAAAGCCCUACGUGCUCUACGUUUGGAGGAUCUACGAAUUCCCCCUACUUAUUCAAAAACUUUCCAAGGCCCGCCUCAUGGUAUCCAAGUUGAAAGAGAUAAGUUGAACAAGUAUGGUCGUCCUUUAUUGGGAUGUACUAUUAAACCAAAAUUGGGAUUAUCCGCAAAAAAUUAUGGUAGAGCGUGUUAUGAGUGUCGACGUGGUGGACUUGAUUUUACCAAAGAUGAUGAAAACGUAAACUCACAACCAUUUAUGCGCUGGAGAGACCGUUUUGUCUUUUGUGCCGAAGCUAUUUAUAAAUCACAGGCCGAAACCGGUGAAAUCAAGGGGCAUUACUUGAAUGCGACUGCGGGUACAUGUGAAGAAAUGAUUAAGAGAGCUGUAUUUGCAAGAGAAUUAGGGGUUCCUAUUGUAAUGCAUGACUACUUAACUGGGGGAUUCACCGCAAAUACUACUUUGGCUCAUUAUUGCCGCGACAAUGGCCUACUUCUUCACAUUCACCGUGCAAUGCAUGCAGUUAUUGAUAGACAGAAAAAUCAUGGUAUGCAUUUCCGUGUAUUAGCUAAAGCAUUGCGUAUGUCUGGGGGAGAUCAUAUCCACUCCGGUACAGUAGUAGGUAAGUUAGAAGGGGAACGCGAAAUGACUUUAGGUUUUGUUGAUUUAUUGCGCGAUGAUUUUAUUGAAAAAGAUCGUGCUCGCGGUAUCUUUUUCACUCAGGACUGGGUAUCCAUGCCAGGUGUUAUACCGGUAGCUUUAGGUGGUAUUCAUGUUUGGCAUAUGCCAGCUCUGACCGAAAUCUUUGGGGACGAUUCUGUAUUACAAUUUGGUGGAGGAACUUUAGGACAUCCUUGGGGAAAUGCACCUGGUGCAACAGCUAAUCGAGUGGCUUUAGAAGCCUGUGUACAAGCUCGUAACGAAGGGCGCGAUCUUGCUCGCGAAGGUAAUGAAAUUAUCCGAGCAGCUUGCAAAUGGAGUCCUGAACUAGCCGCAGCUUGUGAAGUAUGGAAGGCGAUCAAAUUCGAGUUCGAGCCGGUAGAUACUAUUGAUAAGUAG